rnacentral:rRNA from 1 species
GACGAAGGAUGCAAGCGUUAUCCGGAUUCAUUGGGUUUAAAGGGAGCGUAGGUGGCCUUAUAAGUCUGUGGUGAAAUCUCUGGGCUUAACCCAGAAAUUGCCAUUGAUACUGUAGGGCUUGAGUAUAGAUGCCGUUGGCGGAAUAUGACAUGUAGUGGUGAAAUACAUAGAGAUGUCAUAGAACACCGAUUGCGAAGGCAGCUAACGAAACUAUAACUGACACUGAGGCUCGAAAGUGUGGGGAUCAAACAGG